rnacentral:rRNA from 1 species
UACGAAGGGGGCUAGCGUUGUUCGGAAUUACUGGGCGUAAAGGGCGUGUAGGCGGCUUUUUAAGUCGGAUGUGAAAUCCCCGAGCUUAACUUGGGAAUUGCAUUCGAUACUGGGAAGCUAGAGUAUGGGAGAGGAUGGUAGAAUUCCAGGUGUAGCGGUGAAAUGCGUAGAGAUCUGGAGGAAUACCGAUGGCGAAGGCAGCCAUCUGGCCUAAUACUGACGCUGAGGUACGAAAGCAUGGGGAGCAAACAGG